UACGGGGGGGGGCAAGCGUUGUUCGGAAUUACUGGGCGUAAAGGGCUCGUAGGCGGCCAACUAAGUCAGACGUGAAAUCCCUCGGCUUAACCGGGGAACUGCGUCUGAUACUGGAUGGCUGGAGGUUGGGAGAGGGAUGCGGAAUUCCAGGUGUAGCGGUGAAAUGCGUAGAUAUCUGGAGGAACACCGGUGGCGAAGGCGGCAUCCUGGACCAAUUCUGACGCUGAUGAGCGAAAGCCAGGGGAGCAA
rnacentral:rRNA from 1 species